UUAAGAAGCAGUUUGGCGCGUCUCAACACAUUCGGCUGUGUGAGGAUCAAGGACCUCUUGGGCGUCAUGUAAGACAUCCUUCACGUAUGUCACAUCCAGAUGGAGUUCCUAUGAGUAUAGUCAAGGCCAGGUUCUACAGCAGGUUCAAGUUUAGCUGUGACAUGGAUGAAGUUUAUGAGAUGACACAACAAUAUCAAUGGAGCAGAGGGCGGCAAGAAGAAGGAAACGAAUGACCGCUAGCGAAAUCUAUCUACACGAGUGUAAGAAGUGUGUUGCCAUUUUAUUUUAGUUUUUGAUUUGAUAGUGCUAUGUUUUUGCCCAUCCUCCUCGCGGGACAGCUCCUCCCGUGAGUUUCCUCCACCAUCCUUCUGCGAGCAAGGACUCCAAGAUCCGCGAAGGCGGCUAUGGCGUCAUGGUGACCCCAAUGCGGAUGGAUGGAUUCUUGACCGCGACGACGCUGCUGCUCUCGCUCGGAGUGCCCAGAUCUUGUCUAAACCCCUGAUACUGGCUCGCCUGGAUCCACGAGCGGAUGGAUGAUCGAAUCGGUCGUUUUUCUUUAUCUCGCACUGGCCACACAGGCGGACAAAGAGUUUCAAGAGUGGAAGUGGAAGCAAUAUGAGCUUGCUCAAGGCUACUGCGCAGAGAGCUGCGACAUAGGUACGGCGAUCAUCGCCUCGGGCGCGCUCAACGAUCGCCUCGAGAUUUCC
rnacentral:lncRNA from 1 species